rnacentral:snRNA from 1 species
AUGCCUUAAACUUAUGAGUAAGGAAAAUAAUGAUUUGGGGUGGUGCCAAAUCCUUACUGCUAAUGUGAGGUGAAUUUUUGAGUGGGUAAAGGUUGCCCAAAUAAGGUGACCUGCUUAUUUUGCAGGAUGCCUGGGAGUUGUGAUUUGGCAAUCUGCUUA